CGAGCACGCGCGUGUGGCAUAUCAAUAAGCGGAGGAAAAGAAACUAACUAAGGAUUCCCUUAGUAACGGCGAGUGAAGCGGGAAGAGCUCAAAUUUGAAAUCUUCAAGGUUCUACCUUGACGAAUUGUAGUUUAUAGAAGUGUUUUCUGUUAGUAGGAGUGGCAAAAGUUCUUUGGAAUAGGACAUCAUAGAGGGUGAGAAUCCCGUAUUUGGUCAUUCCUUCCUAGCGUUGUGAUACACUUUCAACGAGUCGGAUUGUUUGGGAAUGCAGUCCAAAAUGGGUGGUAAAUAUCAUCUAAAGCUAAAUAUUGGCGAGAGACCGAUAGCGAACAAGUACCGUGAGGGAAAGAUGAAAAGAACUUUGAAAGGAGAGUUAAACAGUACGUGAAAUUGUCAAAAGGGAAGCGUUUGACACCAGUGUUGUUUUUCCGAAAAUCAAUUACGAAUGUUUUGUUUUUGAGGAGUUAUGACUUCAUCGGCUUGCUCCUUUCUUUACGAAACUUUCUUAAUGCACUUUUCGGUUAACAAGUCAACAUCAAUUUCUUUUGUUGUAAAAGAGGUCAUUGAGGAAGGUGGCUUUUCUUUCGGAGAAAGUGUUUAUAGCCUUUGUACCUUCUGCAAUCGGAGAGGAUUGAGGUCUGCAGCGUAGAUCCUUCGGGGUUAGAUACAUUUGCUGCUAAGCUAUAGUUCUUUAUAGACAACUUGUUGACUAUAGUCUAGUCCUGUAGCUUACUCGCUUAUGCUAUUUUACCUACGCUUAGGAUGUUGAUGUGAUACUGCGAGCA
rnacentral:rRNA from 1 species